rnacentral:rRNA from 1 species
UACGUAGGUGGCAAGCGUUAUCCGGAAUUAUUGGGCGUAAAGCGCGCGCAGGUGGUUUCUUAAGUCUGAUGUGAAAGCCCACGGCUCAACCGUGGAGGGUCAUUGGAAACUGGGAGACUUGAGUGCAGAAGAGGAAAGUGGAAUUCCAUGUGUAGCGGUGAAAUGCGUAGAGAUAUGGAGGAACACCAGUGGCGAAGGCGACUUUCUGGUCUGUAACUGACACUGAGGCGCGAAAAGCGUGGGGGAGCAAACAGG